rnacentral:lncRNA from 1 species
AGAGAUGGAGGAAAUGGGAAGGAAAAGAAGGCUGAUCAAAGAAUUCACAGUGCUACAAAAGGAAUUUACAUGUCUCUCUUCCUUUUCUUCUCUCUGUCUAAACAGGUAUGUCAUUUAUCAGGAAAGUUAGUGUUGUUUCCUUUUGUUUUGUUUUUAAGCUGCCUGUAAGGUAAACUUAGCACAUCAUUGCAAUCUAUCACCUUUUAUAGAAGUAAGGGUACAUUUUUUUUUUCAGUGGGAAGAUAUUGAUGUCCAUAUUUUAAAACUCCUAUAAUGGGUGGUGGGUCACUUCAAAAGUAGAAGCUAAAAUUUUUAAUAAUAAAACAGAAGGAAGAAGCCUGAGAAUAAAUUGCAGCAUGAGAACACAAAGGGACUCAGGUCAUUGUCGCAGCCUUAACCAGAAGCCAGACGAUCUAAAAGAAAAAUAGCGAACGCCACAGCGUCGACUGGAACACACCAUGGGGCAGAACAAAACGGCCGUCUUAUGAAAGGCAUUUUUUCAUUUUUAAGGAGGAUGCGCCUGUGCGUUCGCGAUGACAAAGCACAGACUGAGAAUGGGUCGUUCACACUGACAGGUUGUUUCCUGUUGGGCUAACUGCUUGGGUUGGAGUUUCUGUCUCUCAAAUAGUUUUAAAGGAAGAAACAGAAAAGCUAAUCUUUCAUAAAAGGAGAACUGAGUUUGGAAUCACCAUACCUGGGUUCUUCCUAUGGCUCUUUCUCUCUGAACUAAUUAAUUAAAUUUCCUAAUUCCUGAACUAGAAGUAGAAGUAGGGUUCUAACUGCCUGCAAGAAAGUCUGUAGGGCAUUUUCUUGAUUAAUGAUUGAUGUGAGGGGACCCAGCUCACUAGGGAUGGUACCAACUCUAGGCAGGUAGUCCUGGGAUGUAUAAGAAAGCAGGUUGAACAAGCCAGUGAGCAGCAUUUCUCCAUGACUUCUGUGUCAGUUCCUGCCUCGAGGUGCCUGCCUUGAGUCCCUGUUUGGCUAGCCCUUCAUGACGGACUGUAAGCUGUGAGCUGAAAUAAACUCUUUCCUUUC